AUUGAACGCUGGCGGCAGGACUAACACAUGCAAGUCGAACGAGUGGAGGACGGGUGAGUAAUGUCUGGGAAACUGCCAGAUGGAGGGGGAUAACUACUGGAAACGGUAGCUACUACAGCAUAACAGCAGAUGUGACAAGAUGGGUUGAGCUAGUUGGGGGGGUACCGGCUCACCAAGGCGAAGAUCCCUAUCUGGUCUGAGAGGAUGACCAGUCACCAUGGAACUGAGCCACGGUCCAGACUCCUACGGUAGGCAGAGGUGGGGAAUAUUGCACAAUGGUCGCAAGCCUUAUGCAGCCAUACCGCGUGUAUGAAGAAGGCCUUCGGGUUGUAAAGUACUUUCAGCGGGGAGGCGUUACCCGCAGAAGAAGCACCGGAUAACUCCGUGCCAGCAGCCGCGGUAAUAC
rnacentral:rRNA from 1 species